rnacentral:rRNA from 1 species
UACGUAGGGGGCUAGCGUUGUCCGGAAUCACUGGGCGUAAAGGGCGCGUAGGCGGCCUGAUAAGUAGGGGGUGAAAUCCUGCGGCUUAACCGCAGGGCUGCCUUCUAAACUGUCAGGCUGGAGCACAGUAGAGGCAGGUGGAAUUCCCGGUGUAGCGGUGGAAUGCGUAGAGAUCGGGAAGAACAUCAGUGGCGAAGGCGGCCUGCUGGGCUGUUGCUGACGCUGAGGCGCGACAGCGUGGGGGAGCAAACAGG